rnacentral:misc_RNA from 1 species
AACGCACAUUGCGCCUUCUGGUAUUCCGGGAGGCAUGCCUGUCCGAGCGUCAUCAAACCAAGUCAAGCAUUGGCGUUGCUAUUCGUCAAAGCUUGGAGUUGACGGGUGUGCGAGACCUGAUACGUCUAGCACACCGUCGAAACACAAAGGCGGAAACCGACGCGGCCCGUGGUGUUGUAAUACCUCAUUUCACCUGUGUGGCCGCAUUGUAAUUUCCAGCCCAAGACAACUCCCAGUGUGGGAAAAAUAAUCUCCAAUGUUUGACCUCGGAUCAGGUAAGGAUACCCGCUGAACUUAA